UUGCACAGGAGGGAAAAGAGAUUUUUUCAAGGAACAAGAAGUCUGAACCGUUUUACAAGAAGCAAACUAUGAACUACAAGCAUAACAUAGAAUAGAUGGGGAAAGUCUGAAGGAGAGAUUCCACUGCAAUGAAAUGUUUGAUCCAAUUGAAUACAAUAGCUGAAGAUGGUCCUGAAAAUAGAACAUAAGAUCAUACGCAACAGGAAGAAAAAAAUACAUCAUUAAAUACUCCUCAAGAUCAAGCUGCAAAUGAACUAACAGUCCUGGUCCUUCAAGCUGAAUGUGGUAUUGUUCUCAUCUUUCAUUCAGAGGGUCUUGAAAGCAUUGAACUAUUCGGAUUUGUGGAUCAUAAAAGCAGGGUUCUCCAAGACAAACGUAGACAGAAUGUUUGAUUAGGUGCAGCUUUCAGGCCGAUAGCACUUUGAUCAUGGACCCCACAGAUAGUCAAAGUUCAGAAGCACUGUUACAACCUCGCUUUCACAAAACAACAGAAAACCAACAGAUGACAACAGUUAUUUUAUUCUGAUACACUAGAAGUACAUUACCAUAUCCCCCUCAAGAAAAAAAAAAGACUAUAAUUUGCAUAAAAAGGUUGCAUUUACAAAAUACGCUUUAAUGUAAGCAAUAACAAAACCAGAACUAUUACUAGGCUCCUUCACAAGAAUUUGAUGUUGUUUAUUUCAGUUGUUGUCCUAUAAAAGAUUUAAUGCAUACAAAAAAUGCACCCUUUAGCCUUUCUGCAUCACAGUCAAGUCUUCCUUGAAACUUCCUGCAGAUCUAGUUAUUUAGUAAUUAUUCACACAGGAGAAGAGAAA